UACGUAGGGGGCGAGCGUUGUCCGGAGUUACUGGGCGUAAAGCGCACGCAGGCGGUCUGCUAAGUUUGGAGUGACAGUUGGUGGCUUAACUGCCAAAGUGCUUCGAAAACUGACAGACUUGAGGGCUUCAGAGGGACACGGAAUUCCGGGUGGAGUGGUGAAAUGCGUAGAUAUCGGGAGGAACACCUGUGGCGAAAGCGGCUCACUGGACCAUAACUGACGCUGAUGCACGAAAGCUGGGGGAGCAAACAGG
rnacentral:rRNA from 1 species